AAGGAAGCCUGAUCCCUCAUCCAUGUUUCAACUGUUGCAUCUUGCUGCCUUUAGAACCUUCCAUCCAUAAAGCAGCAGUAUGCAAUGGUGAAAACUGGAUGCCAUGAUUCAGCUGUAAAUA
rnacentral:precursor_RNA from 16 species